AAAAUGUUUUGAUUUUAUCAGACGGAGUGUUAUUAUAAAAUAACUUUUACUAAUUGAGUUAAAAUAAUUUAACCAUGUUAACUAUGCCAUUGUUAUAAGUUAAGUUGAACAUUUAAUGAGUAUUAGUAAAGCAUUAGAAAUAUUUAGUUCUAUUACAAUCAUUGUUAUUUCAAAACGCUAGUUGAUAUUCAAUUUAAAAUAUUACAAAAGGUUAUUUUUAGAAGGGCGAAUAAGCAAUAAUCACUGAUAAUAAACAUUCACCAGACAAAACAUCACUGUAAACAUAAUAUUACAUAUUCUUUAAUCUAGAAUUUGUAAAUUAAUUUAAACUUAAAAUCAUGAUUUCCUAUUUUGUUUGCUUUGUUAAUUUGGGGCAUAAUUAUGUAAGUUUAAGUAUUAUAAUUUUUAAAAUAUGGUAAUACAGCAGUUUCACUUCAGUCAUGAAAAUAAAUACUAACUUUAUUAAGGUUCUUAUAUAUCUAUAACUUGUACAUUUUUUAUAUUAUAGUAUUGAACUAUUGCUUUUAGCUGUUUUGGCUGUUACACUUUUAUUCUAAAUACAAAUAGGUGAUUUUUUAAAUAAUUAUAGCUGUCUUAUGGCAGAAUAUAAAAAUUUGGAUGAAAUUAUUAAUGUAUAUGUAAUGUAGUGUUUUAAAUAGUAAUGAAAGUGAUGAUAGUGUAAAUGUGCAAACUAAUUCGAAUAGAUUUUCCUCAUAUUCAUUUCUAACUGAAUCAAAUUCCAAGUAUGGGAGGUAUAAACCAAUGAAAUGGACUUCACAGUCUAUUAUGAGCUUGCUGCAUUCAACUAAUGAUGGUCGUUUUAUUUAGACUGAUGCAAAAUUAAAACAUGAACAUUAAUCUGAUGAUGCUCAAAAUACACUUAUGAAACUUUUAAUAAAUUAUUUAUUUCAAGACAAAGUUUGAUACUAGAACAAGCAACAUAAUGAAACUUCUAUUAAUUCCAUAUCUAGUACCAAAUAAAAACAAACAAAAAGUCCUGGAAACCCUUAAUUUAAAUGAUUCAGGAUUCAAAAUGAUUUAUCUGAUUCAACACCAACUAUCAAAAGAGUUUUGGGUAAUGGUAAAAUGUAGGCUACUCUUAAAUAUAUUCAUAACUGUUACAUAGUUGUUUUUUUAAAAAUUUAUAUCUUGUUGUUUAUUAAUAAUAUAUAGUAUGUCACUAAAUUAUUUUUAUUGUAAUUAAUUUGUAAGUGUAUUUUGUGCUUACAAUUUACACAAAGUAAAUGAUUCCAUUGUGUAAUGUAAUAAUCUUUAUAUUUUAACAUAUCUUUACUACACCAAUUCAAACUAUUAUAAUUAUUAUCUAAUGAAGUUCCUUUUUAUAUUUUAAUUAAAUAUAUAUUUCUUUUAUUAGUAUUUGUAAAAAUUGAGUUUAUGGAUAUUUGGUCAUUUUGGCCUUGACUCCAUUUAGAAUUAAACAAAAUAUCAACUGCAAAUAAAUAAACAAAAUGUUGAAGUUGUUAUAAGAUGUAGACAAUUUAGUGUAAGGUAUCCACUUAACACCUACUAAGAAUUGAGAAU